UUGCUGCAAUAGAAUAAAUUACCGUGAUCGAUGGUCGGGAAGUUUGUUUGUUAUCUUGUUGUAUUCAUUCUUGCGACCAGCUGUAGAAUAGUGCUGUGCAUGAAAAAACAGUUUGAACAUCAUCUUUGCAAACUGAUCGCAACUUGCUAAAGUAGCUGAAGAACAGACCCAAAAUUGACCCAAACUUUUCAUGACGAAACCUUGCAAGGCCAAAGAAUCAAAGCAGUAAUCUUUCCGGACAGCGGAAUAUUAUCAACGAUCCAGAAAUGUUAAAGUAUCUAGAGAUAACCGGAAAAUGUUUCAAAUAUGGCUUGUUUCAAAUGAAAGGAAUAAUGUGGAAAAUCGGAGACGGAAUUUGGAAGAAAAGGUACACAAAAGAUCAUGAAACAGUCCACCAAGCUACGUCAUUUUGCUUCCAAUGGAAGAAGGAAACAGUUUUUGGUACUCGCAUAGAAAAAUAAACCAUGAGCCUCAAUUGGAACGCAUCGGGAAAGAACACAGUGAACAUGAUUCUGACACCGGUACAGAUCAACUCGUCUGCAAACGAAAUGGCCGGGAAAAGGAAACACAUCAGUGAAUCGCGCAGCAAGCAACUCUUGCCAUUGAUCUCCCGAUUGUUGUGUCAUGCUUCAAAAUUUAUGAAAACCUUCAGGCCUAAGUUGUACCGGCAAGGUAGUAAUUAUUAAUCAUCACUUUAAGCCUAUUUGCAACUAACACUUCUAAUCCGAGGAACUCGAACAGCUCAAGAAGAAAAUCGUUCAGUACUUACGAUAAUUUUUUUUUCGGAACUGGAGAUAAUGUCCCACUUG